UACGUAGGGUGCAAGCGUUGUCCGGAAUUAUUGGGCGUAAAGAGCGUGUAGGCGGCCCGAUUAGUCCGCUGUGAAAGUCCAGGGCUCAACCCUGGAAUGCCGGUGGAUACUGUCGGGCUAGAGUCCGGAAGGGGCGAGUGGAAUUCCUGGUGUAGCGGUGAAAUGCGCAGAUAUCAGGAGGAACACCGGUGGCGAAGGCGCCACUCUGGGCCGAAACUGACGCUGAGGAGCGAAAGCGUGGGUAGCAAACAGG
rnacentral:rRNA from 1 species